AAGAAAGUGACAGAACGGCUAUGUGUCCGGCUUGAAACCGGGGUACGGGGGUUCAACUCCUCCUUUUCUCG
rnacentral:tRNA from 1 species